rnacentral:rRNA from 1 species
UACAGAGGUGGCAAGCGUUGUUCGGAAUUACUGGGCGUAAAGGGCGCGUAGGCGGCCAUCUAAGUCAGACGUGAAAUCCCUAGGCUUAACCUAGGAACUGCGUCUGAUACUGGAAGGCUUGAGUUCGGGAGAGGGAUGUAGAAUUCCAGGUGUAGCGGUGAAAUGCGUAGAUAUCUGGAGGAAUACCGGUGGCGAAGGCGGCAUCCUGGACCGAAACUGACGCUGAGGCGCGAAAGCUAGGGUAGCAAACGGG